rnacentral:rRNA from 1 species
CCUACGGGAGGCAGCAGUGAGGAAUAUUGGUCAAUGGCCGGAAGGCUGAACCAGCCAUGCCGCGUGAAGGUCAGUGCCCUAUGGGCGUUAAACUUCUUUUGUGCGGGAGCAAUAAUGGUCACGUGUGGCCAGACGAGAGUACCGUACGAAUAAGCAUCGGCUAACUCCGUGCCAGCAGCCGCGGUAAUACGGGGGAUGCAAGCGUUAUCCGGAUUUAUUGGGUUUAAGGGGUGCGGAGGCUGUGAGGUAAGUCAGCGGGGAAAUGCCCCCGCUCAACGGGGUGAAGUGCCAUUGAUACUGCCUUGCUGGAAUGCGGAUGCCGUGGGAGGAAUGUGUGGUGGAGCGGUGAAAUGCAUAGAUAUCACACAGAACACCGAUUGCGAAGGCAUCUCACGAAUCCGCGAUUGACGCUGAUGCACGAAAGCGUGGGUAUCAAACAGGAUUAGAUACCCUGGUAGUC